rnacentral:piRNA from 1 species
UCAACGUGUCAUCGGCUUGUCAUCGGCUA